CAAUAGCGUAUAUUAAAGUUGUUGCGGUUAAAAAGCUCGUAGUUGGAUUUCUGCCGAGGACGACCGGUCCGCCCUCUGGGUGAGUAUCUGGCUCGGCCUGGGCAUCUUCUUGGAGAACGUAUCUGCACUUGACUGUGUGGUGCGGUAUCCAGGACUUUUACUUUGAGGAAAUUAGAGUGUUUCAAGCAGGCAUACGCCUUGAAUACAUUAGCAUGGAAUAAUAGAAUAUGACCUUUGUUCAUUUAUUGGUCCAAUGAGUGGAGGUAAUGAUUAACAGGGACAGUUGGGGGCAUUAGUAUUGCUUUGUCAGAGGUGAAAUUCAUUGAUUAUCGCAAGACUAACUUAUGCGAAAGCAUUUGCCAAGGAUGUUUUCAUUAAUCAAGAACGAAAGUUAGGGGAUCAAAGACGAUCAGAUACCGU
rnacentral:rRNA from 1 species